AAAAAGAAGAAACUAAGUCAGAGGAGAUUAGCUCCGUGGUAUAAUUCCCAAACGCGCGUUCUAAAACAGACAUCGCGGAAGCUAGAAAGGAAGUGGCGCUCCACCAAUCGCCAAGACUUCCACCUAGCCUGGAAGAAUAGCCUUAUAAAUUACAAAAAAGCACUUAGAAAUGCCCGAACCUCUUAUUAUUCAUUACUAAUAGAAGAAAAUAGGAACAACCCCAGGUUCCUCUUCAGCACUGUAGCCAGGCUGACAGAAAGUCACACCUCCACUGACCCAUCUAUUCCUCUAGAUCUGAGAAGCAAUGACUUCAUGAGCUUCUUCGCUAAUAAAAUUACAACCAUCAGGGAUAAAAUCCACGACCUCCUCCCAGUGAAUAACACGGAUUCAUUGUCUGGUCCUGAAACCAUAGCACCAGAUUUAUGUCUAAACAAAUUUUACUCUAUUGAUCUUCCUGAACUGACCUCGUUAGUUUCAUCAUCUAAACCAACUACUUGUCAGCUGGACUCUGUUCCAACUAGACUUUUUAAAGAAGUCCUCCCCCUAAUUGACAGUUCCAUUUUAAAUCAGAUUAAUAUGUCUUUGCUAACCGGCUACGUACCACAGGCUUUUAAGGUAGCCGUUAUUAAACCUCUGCUUAAAAAGCCUACGCUUGAUCCAGAGGUUUUAGCUAACUAUAGACCCAUAUCCAACCUGCCCUUCAUUUCCAAAAUCCUAGAAAAAGCCGUUGCUAACCAGCUGUGUGGUUACUUAGAUAGUAACGGUU
rnacentral:misc_RNA from 1 species